rnacentral:rRNA from 1 species
AGAGUUUGAUCCUGGCUCAGAAUCAACGCUGGCGGCGUGCCUCAGACAUGCAAGUCGAACGAUUAAAGCUCUCUUCGGAGAGUGCAUAAAGUGGCGCACGGGUGAGUAACACGUAAGUAAUCUACCCUCGAGUGGGGAAUAACGUCCGGAAACGGACGCUAAUACCGCAUAAUGCAGCGGCACCGCAAGGUGACAGUUGUUAAAGAUUUAUCGCUUGAGGAGGAGCUUGCGGCAGAUUAGCUAGUUGGUAAGGUAAUGGCUUACCAAGGCUACGAUCUGUAACCGGUCUAAGAGGACGGUCGGUCACACUGACACUGAAUAACGGGUCAGACUCCUACGGGAGGCAGCAGUCGGGAAUUUUGGGCAAUGGGCGAAAGCCUGACCCAGCAACGCCGCGUGAAGGAUGAAGUAUUUCGGUAUGUAAACUUCGAAAGAAUAGGAAGAAUAAAUGACGGUACUAUUUAUAAGGUCCGGCUAACUACGU